rnacentral:pre_miRNA from 1 species
AAUAAAUCAAUUUUUUAUUUUUUUACGUAUAAUUUUUGACUCUUCGUCUUAUUUAAAAAUUUUUGCGAUUGAUAUUUUUAUUUUUAUUAGAUGAUAAAUCAUGAAUAGUACUUUAUGUGUGACUAAUUUUUUUCUAAUUUCCUAAAAAUUUUCCAAAUAAGAUGAAUGGUCAAAUGCUGGGCAGGGAGUAUACUCUCACU